GGGGAAUAUUGGACAAUGGGCGCAAGCCUGAUCCAGCCAUACCGCGUGGGUGAAGAAGGCCUUCGGGUUGUAAAGCCCUUUUGUUGGGAAAGAAAAGCAGUCGGUUAAUACCCGAUUGUUCUGACGGUACCCAAAGAAUAAGCACCGGCUAACUUCGUGCCAGCAGCCGCGGUAAUACGAAGGGUGCAAGCGUUACUCGGAAUUACUGGGCGUAAAGCGUGCGUAGGUGGUUGUUUAAGUCUGUCGUGAAAGCCCUGGGCUCAACCUGGGAAUUGCGAUGGAAACUGGGCGACUAGAGUGUGGCAGAGGGUAGUGGAAUUCCUGGUGUAGCAGUGAAAUGCGUAGAGAUCAGGAGGAACAUCCGUGGCGAAGGCGACUGCCUGGGCCAACACUGACACUGAGGCACGAAAGCGUGGGGAGCAAACA
rnacentral:rRNA from 1 species